CAGCCGCCACGGUAAUACAGAGGGUGCGAGCGUUAAUCGGAUUUACUGGGCGUAAAGCGUGCGUAGGCGGCUUUUUAAGUCGGAUGUGAAAUCCCUGAGCUUAACUUAGGAAUUGCAUUCGAUACUGGGAAGCUAGAGUAUGGGAGAGGAUGGUAGAAUUCCAGGUGUAGCGGUGAAAUGCGUAGAGAUCUGGAGGAAUACCGAUGGCGAAGGCAGCCAUCUGGCCUAAUACUGACGCUGAGGUACGAAAGCAUGGGGAGCAAACAGGAUUAGAGACCCCUGUAGUCCCUGUCUCUUAUAC
rnacentral:rRNA from 1 species